GUCUACGGUCAUGCCACCCUGAACAAGCCCGAUGUCUGAUCUUGGAAGCUAAGCAGCAUCGGGUCUGGUUAGUACUUGGAUGGGAGACCACCUAGGAAGACCAGGUACUGUAGGCA
rnacentral:rRNA from 1 species